UUUUUUUUUUCUUUUUUUGGCUGACUCCAAAGCAUGUGGAAGUCCCCAGGGAAGGGAUCAAACCUGUGCCACAGAAGUGACCCAAGCCACUGCAGUGAUAACAGCAGGAAUUUAACCUGCUGCACCACAAGAGAACUCCUGUCUCUUUUCAUCUUUUGAUGACUCUUGUGCAGAAAUGGCAGUUAGCUUUCUCUUGGAUAUGUAUGCAGUCAUCUAGAUUUAAAGGCAUAUGGUCUAUCUUGGAUCGCUUACAGAUUGCAAGAUGGCUCUGAAGCCAAACUUGCUGCUUAUUUCAUGCCCUGCACAUUUAAUUACUGCUUGAUGUGAAUGAAGCGUUUUAUCUGAAGAUAUGCACUGCUGAAAUUUUAGCUGGGUUGAGUCAUAAAACAGUUUUCAACAGAUUGAGGCAAUCUUAGAGGGAAGUUUGUGAAGAAAGUUGGCUUGAACUAUCUCACCGUAAGUAAUAAAUGUUUUGAGUCAGUCUGAAUAUUGCCGGAUAAGACGACAAAUACAAGUGUUCCUACUUUAGCAUUCUUCUAGAUAAUUCUACAAACCGAGAUUCUUUUAUUGGGGUUAAUCAAUAUUGGUAAAUGGUUAAUCAGUAUUGGUAAAUGGUUAAUUAUGAUACAAGUUAGUUGUGAAAGAGAGCUAAGGCAUUUCCCUAGUCACUCAUUUCUUUUGGGGGGUUAUUCUUUAGUUUGGUACAAACUACUUUCUCCGCAGCACAACUUUUCUUAGUUCCACCUCUGGCUGUGUUUCCAUGACUUCUUGUCAGUUAAACCAUUCCUCUAGUUGGUCAUCUCAGAUAGUACUAGCCUGGGGCUAGUAGGGAUGGAGUAAUAUCUGAGGAGCCUGUAGAGUCUGGUAUUUCAGCAAAGAGCUCAUGAGUUUAGGUUGUUUUAGCUAAUAGGUUGUUCUUCCAAUUUCUAAUAAUGUAAACAUAAAAAAAUAGCUAGGCUUAAGAUGAGGAUUGAUAAAAAGAGGCUAGUGAACUGCCAGCAUGGUAUCUGGUACAUCCUCUUCAUCUAAAGUGGCUGCCAUGUUAUCAUUCCAAGACUGCUGUCCAUGCACAUUCUUCACACUGGAACACUUGAGUCAUGGUGGGAGUAUAGCUAUUAGCCACUUCUGGCUCUUGCAUAUGUGCUCUGAACUGUCCUCUGCUUUCCUUUCUAUACUCCCUUUCCUUUGUGCCAAAUAAUUUAGACAAUACACACACAAAAAUUUUGUUUUGUCUUUUUAGGGCCACACCCAUGGCAUAAGGAGGUUCCCAGGCUAGGAGUUGAAUCAGAGCUGUAGCCACUGGCCUACGCCACAGCCACAGCAACGUGGGAUCCAAGCUGUAUUUGUGAACUAUGUCACAGCUCACAGCAACAUUGGAUCCUUAACCCACUAAGCGAGGCCAGGGAUCAAACCUGUGUACUCAUGGAUACUAGUCAGAUUCAUUUCUACUGAGCCACGAUGGGAACUCCCCCCACUUUUUUUUCCUUUUAAGUCAAAUUCUGAUCCUAAGAAACAGAAUGGAGAAAGCAAUUUUACUGAUUCUAUAAGCUCCUCCAAAGCCUGGAAUGUUCUCUCCCCUCUAUUAGUCUUCACAUAGGCCGUUCCUUCAUCAGAACACUUUCCUUCUUAUUUUUGUUUCAUAAGCCUUCUUACCAUCAAAGCUUUAGUUUAGAUUGCUCUCUCCCCUAGAAAGCCUUACCUGAUCCCUAAUCUUGCAUCUUCUAGGUUUGUGAUGUCUCCAAGCAUGUUAGACCUGCAGUGCUGUCUGGUGCCUGGCUCAGACAGAGACCUGAGCUCCAGGAAGGGCAGAGAUCAUGUUUGCCUCACUCAUCUCUAUCGAUCAUUGCACCCUCAGCAGCUAGCACAGUGCCUGGCCGAGAGCAGGCACUCAAUAAAUGUUCUUCCUUGGAAACCCAUGUCCGCGCCUUUUCUAGAAGGCUUUGAAAAUCAUUUACUCUUUUGUAUCUCCUCAGUUAUCUCUAUCCUGGGGCAGCAAUUUGUCACAAAACUCAGAGGUUUGGCAGUGACACCCAAGUUUAGUUAAUCUUGGAAUCAAGUUCCCAAAAAACACACACAUUGUAUCACUUAUUGGGUUGUGGAAUGCAUCUCACUUUUAGCAAAGGAGUGCAAUGCUUAGGUUACCAUGUCUGCUCUGAUAUCUUCUACUGUGUGACCCUGAGCAAGUCACUUAACAUCUUCAUGUCUCAGUUUUCUUACCUUGACAAUGGAGCUGAUGACAGUUUCCACCUCAAACUGUGAAAAGAGAAUAUGUGUGUCUAUGUGCAUGUGGGGGGUAGGGGAGGAAGGAGGCGGGGGGGGGGAAGAGAGUUGGGGUAAAGAGAGACAUAAAGUACUUAGUACAGUCCCUGGCAUGCAGUAUAUUCUCAAGAAUGCUAACCAUGAUGAUUAAUGAUUCCAUUCUUCCAUGUUUCUAAAUCAACAUGGUAUUAAUAUAUCCACUAACAAGAAUGUGAGAAUAAAGCACUAUGACAAAGGGAGAGGAGAGGUACAAGAUGGUGUUCAACCGGACCAUUAUUAGGGAAUCUAAUUCACUUUAGAAAAACAAAUGUUGAGAUGUUAUUUUGAAAUAUAUAUUAAAAUGUUAUUUUAAAACAGCAACAGGAAGGAAGAAGUAGAAUUGCUGCUUGCCCGAAGGCUUUCUGCAAACCUUUCUAUUUUCCAUUUCUGUCACCUGUUCAGGUUGCCCUUUUGCCAUCCUCUUAACAGGCAAAAUGUUCGGGGGUGGCUAUGUUGCACCAUGCACCAAGGGGACUGAUAUGAGCUGAUUCAAUGAGCCUACCAUCUACUCUUUGUGUUUGACUAUUUAAAUCAAUGUGCUAUACAAUAUCUGUGUAUGCUUGGUGGCCUCUUAGCCCCAUUAGAAAACUGUGUGAGCAAGGGCAGGAGGCAGGGAGAUGGUUCCCGGAAUCAGCAACUAAUUUGCAAGCCUGAGGAGUAUGCAUGAAAGGCAGCAGUAAAAGUCAGUCAUCAGCUCUGAUAUUUAUAGUGAGAGGGAGGAAAGAAAGAAGAGAAAGCCAUGAAAUGUUAUUAGAAAGUCAGGAAAAUAGAGCUACUCAAUAUUAUUCAUACCUUACUACUUGUUCUUCAUUUUUUUUAAGGAGUUUUUAUGUAUAAUGUAUGUGUGGGGUCUUAAGAAAUAGAAACAAGAAACUUCCUCCCCCUCAUCAAUGGUAUAUAAUAAAUUACUAUAUUUCAUUUCAAGAAAUUGAAAUGAACUAACCACAAAUGCAGGAAGAUAAGACCUAAAAAAGCAAUAUGAGGUUUCCUUUUCUCCCUUAAUUUUUUUUUGUUAGAAAUUGAAGAAUCAUGUUGAAUUUCAAAUAAUCUGCCUAGUCCAAAUACCAAACUGCUGCAUAUUUUGCACAGUGAGGUGUGUUUUAAAAACAUUUUAUAAAAUACAUGUUAUAUAGUGAGAAAACCAAUGGGAGAAAAAAAAUAAUUCUCACAUGGUAUUAGAAGAAUAUCUAGUGACUUGCAAAUAGGGAACAAUAUAAUAUUGUGUGAACAGCAAGCAUUUAUUUUAUUGUCAAUACCCACAAAUAAAUAAAUAGCAGUAAUAGGGGAGUAUCAGAUACUUUGAAAACUGUUAGAACUACUGAAUUGGCACAGAACUAGGGAGUUUUAACAUGCCCGGAUGAACUGCCACUAUUGUAAGUGCAGAAUUAUCUUGACUCAUCUCUUGUUUUUGUAACUUUGAUUUAUUAUUAUCCUGGGGAGAUUAGACCUUGGUGCUUGGAAUUCUAAUUGAACCUCCACACUUGGAGAUUGCUCCUUUAUACUACCUAGCAACUAGAAAGCAGGAAAGCAUUUUGGGGGAGAAUAUGCUCAAAUAUACGUAUUUGAGUAAAAAAAAAAAAAAAAGUAACCUUUAACUGUUUUCUCGGUUCUUUGAAAAGCAUUCAUUAUAGCACUGAAACGACUCCUUAGGUUAGAAUUAGGACCCUUUGGGAAGGUUUAUAAAAGCUUUCACCUUGGAGAGGCCACUGGGUUUCCAGGGCAAUGAGUUAACCAAACCAGUAGUAAUCACAGAAUAUUAGGGUCUGAAAUGAAACCAGCUCUGUCCACCCUUAUUUUUGAAGGUGAGAAAACUGGCAUCUCAGAGGUUAAUAGCCUUGUUCAGGCCACACACAUCACAGUAAGGCUGGUCCUAGAAUGGCACCUCCUGACCUCAUCUAGCAUGAUUCCUAGAAUUCUGUGGUUCUCGGCACUUCCUCCAAUGUCUGGCACAAAGUGGGCUCACAAUAAAUGUGUAUCAAUUCACUGAAUGGCCUGAGAGCCUUAAUAAUUACAAAUAUUAUUUUAAAUUAGUUAAAAACACUGAAAAAAUCUUUUUAGAGAGACUAGUCAAUUGCAACCAGACCACUGUGAACAAGAAUACUAUAAACAGGAGGAAAACAUUUAACUAUAGCCUGUAGUAACAAGCUGAAACAUCCUAUGAUGGGGAGGUGCUGGAAAAGCUAGUUGCUUGUGACUAUCUAUAUCAGAAGCACUAGAAUAUCCUUGUCGAGGAUGGAGAAAAAGAUGGCAUGAAAUUCCUUUGCUUUCUGCUGCUAUGCAAACAGCAGGCAGGAGUUCCUGUCAUGGCACAGUGGAAACAAAUCCAACUAGGGGUACCAUGAGGUUAUGGGCUCAAUCCUUGGCCUCGCUCAAUGGGUUAAGGAUACAGUGUUGCUGUGAGCUGUGGUGCAGGGAUCGAACCCGUAACCUCAUGGUUCCUAGUUGGAUUCGUUAACCACUGUGCCACGAAGGGAACUCCCCUCUCUAUACAUCUUGUAGCAGCUCCCCCCAUGGCUAUGAAUGAAUGAAUGAAUGAAGACAUCCAGACUGGCAAAUGCUUUCAUGUUUUAGGGUCCUUUGGUUAAUCUACCUGGUUGCUGACUUUCAGUUAAGAGUUCUUGGUACUAAGGGAAAUUCCUCAGAACUUUGGGGAGAUGAUAAAAUUCUCCUCCUGGAUACACUCAUCCCAAUGAAAAUGCAUCCACUAGGUUGGGGUUGGGGAUAAAAUAGCAGGGAUUUAACGUCUUGGUUUAGUCUUAGGGGAUCAGGGAGGCAAGUGAAACCCACGAUCUGGAGAGCUCACCUGAGUAAAAUUUAAAGUGUGAGCGGGUACAAAAAGUAUGAAUGGAGUCAU
rnacentral:lncRNA from 1 species